rnacentral:rRNA from 1 species
GAGUCUAGCAUGUGCGCGAGUCAUUGGGACUUGAUAAACCUAAAGGCGAAAUGAAAGUAAAGGCGUGCCUUGCGCAUGCUUAGGGAGGAUGGGUCGUGCCACGGCACGGCCCCGCACUCCCGAGGCGUCUCGUGCUCAUUGCGAGUUGAGGCGCACUCAGAGCGUACACGCUGGGACCCAAAGAUGGUGAACUAUGCCUGGUCAGGACGAAGUCAGGGGAAACCCUGAUGGAGGUCCGUAGCGAUUCUGACGUGCAAAUCGAUCGUCGGAACUGGGUAUAGGGGCGAAAGACUAAUCGAACCAUCUAGUAGCUGGUUCCCUCCGAAGUUUCCCUCAGGAUAGCUGGCGCUCGCUUUUGCGAGUCUCAUCCGGUAAAGCGAAUGAUUAGAGGCAUUGGGGUCGAAACGGCCUCAACCUAUUCUCAAACUUUAAAUGGGUGAGAUCUCCGGCUUGCUUAAAGCAUGAAGCCGCGAGAUCGGAUCAGAGUGCCAAGUGGGCCACUUUUGGUAAGCAGAACUGGCGCUGUGGGAUGAACCAAACGCCGAGUUAAAGCGCCCAAAUCGACGCUUAUGGGAUACCAUAAAAGGCGUUGGUAACUUAAGACAGCAGGACGGUGGCCAUGGAAGUCG